UACGGAGGGUGCAAGCGUUAUCCGGAAUCACUGGGUUUAAAGGGUGCGUAGGCGGUGGUGCAAGUCAGUUGUGAAAUGCCCCGGCUUAACCGGCGGAAGUGCGAUUGAUACUGCAUCACUUGAAUCAGGAUGAGGCAGGCGGAAUGUGGCAUGUAGCGGUGAAAUGCUUAGAUAUGCCAUAGAACACCAAUUGCGAAGGCAGCUUGCUGGGCCUGAAGUGACGAUGAGGCACGAAAGCGUGGGGAGCAAACAGG
rnacentral:rRNA from 1 species